GUGUCAGCAGCCGCGGUAAUACGGAGGGUGCAAGCGUUGUUCGGAAUUAUUGGGCGUAAAGAGCGUGUAGGCGGCCUUGUAAGUCAGAUGUGAAAUCCCUUGGCUUAACCAAGGAAGGGCAUUUGAAACUGCUUGGCUUGAGUACGGGAGGGGGAAGUGGAAUUCCCGGUGUAGAGGUGAAAUUCGUAGAUAUCGGGAGGAACACCAGUGGCGAAGGCGGCUUCCUGGACCGAUACUGACGCUGAGACGCGAAAGCGUGGGGAGCAAACAGGAUUAGAUACCCUGGUAGUCCACGCCGUAAACGUUGGGCACUAGGUGUUGUGGGUAUUGACCCCCGCAGUGCCGAAGCUAACGCAUUAAGUGCCCCGCCUGGGGAGUACGGUCGCAAGGCUAAAACUCAAAGGAAUUGACGGGG
rnacentral:rRNA from 1 species